GUGUUCCCAAAUUUUUAACCUCAAUGCCUCUUCUAGUGUUAUUUAUAAUCUUUAUGAUUAGAAUAUCUAGCCGACCUUCGACUUUGUGCAAGCUGUUUUUGUAUUCAAACUGCACUUUUCCUACCUCCUGGUGUCUUAGGGGUGCCUUACAUGCUUGUGUGAUGGAAGACGGGUUGAGGCAGCAUUUUCCUUGCGAUAGUAACUUCUAGU